GACCCAAUUGCUGGGUUUGUCCAUUUUCAACCCAACUUGGGUUGUUUUUAACCCAGCAUUUUUUUUAGAGUGUAAUUUUUUCCUUCAAUGAGCUCUAAAGCAAUGAAUGGUGCAGACAUAGAAAUAUGUCUAAAUAAAAAAUUGUUGCCUCGAAAGGCAAUGAUUCGAUUUUUACAGCAAAAGCAACAUUUCUUACAAUUUACAAUCACCUGAAGGCUGAAAUGAAUCAAUGUGCAGUUUUCUUGCAAAAAGCUUGGAAAACUGCCGCCAUUGAAGAAUUCAUUAGCACAGCAAGAGACCCAGCAGAAUUAGGAUUUCUGGGAAAUGUAGUUUUGAGUAACGUCAUUUUAAAGGCAAUGUGGUAAUUCAAAACCUUCUGCCAUCUGGUUCUAUAAUCGCCUCCCACUCACAAAGAGCCUUUUCUCGUCCCUCGGCUCGUGUUUAUUUUGUGUUCUCUCUUUUGUUUACUCUUAUGGCACAGGUACAGGAAUGAGAGAUCGGGUCAGAGAGACAGAGCAAAGAGAGAUGGUCGAGAUAUGUCUGGAAUUCUCCACAUGUGCACUUAACCUGUGCAUGAACUCCAGACUACGGCCAAAUGUUUUUCAGCUAGUCAUGGGAGUAACAUUCUCACCACUAACACAAAAGUUCACUUCAGCCAUAGUGUUGUGAAAUCCACUCUUCUCAGGAAUAUGGGGUUGAUUCCCGUCCUUGGCGGUACGGAGAGCAGCAUUUUUCUCAGCACGGUGUCCGGAGCGGCGAGGCUGACGUCAGUGAGAGGAAGUUCAGGCGGGAUCGAGUCCCGCCGUCGCCAAGACUGAAGCCGCUUGCCGCUGCUGCUGCUGCUGUGUGUCUCUGUAAGUCCGCCCGGGUCCUAGCGCCACAACCAAAGCAACCAUAACACACAGAAACCUGCUAACGCUGUAUACAUUUUGACAAAAGUGCAUCUAUAUACUUGCCGUUGCAUAAAAUCUUGUUGUGGAGAAUUUAUCUAACGAGAUGUGCUUUGGAAAAGUUAUACUUUCAUUUUUAUUCGUCUUAAUCCAUCCAUUUUUAAUUAAACUUUGUGUUUGUUUUA